UCACACAUGCAACUUCUGAACACGCUACUCAACAUUAAAACUAGCUAUACCAAAGCAUGACUAAAUACAUCAGUUCACAACUUUACACAUAUUGGACUAAAUUGAUCAUCCACUAUACAAAGGCUUCACUAAUAACAAACUAAUGAACACAUAAACAUAUAAUAGGACAUAAAUGAAUACAACAACAAAUUAUCCAAGCUAGACUCCCAUGAGACAUUGUAUCAUCAGAAAUUCCAAAUCCCAUUUCAACAUAUCAUUUGAGAUUCAAUGUCUACCUGGUUACAACAGCAAACAAAGAAGAUAAGCUGAAGAUUUUAAGAUGAAACAUCAGCAAUAGUUAGAAAUGGAAACAGUCAAACAAGAUAUAAAUAUCCAAUCUUCGACCCAGCUUCAAACCCCAGAAUUAAUACCAGUUUUAGAACCAUUGAAAAUCAGACUGAAAGGAAACUUUAGAACCAGGCAAUUCUAUGAAAAUUUCGGUAUUUUAGAGUCUAAAAGAAGCUCAGUUGUUCCUCAAGUUUUUCAGUUUUUU
rnacentral:lncRNA from 1 species